rnacentral:rRNA from 1 species
CGUGGGCAAUCUGCCCUGCACUCUGGGACAAGCCCUGGAAACGGGGUCUAAUACCGGAUGAUACCUGCCGAGGCAUCUCGGUGGGUUGAAAGCUCCGGCGGUGCAGGAUGAGCCCGCGGCCUAUCAGCUUGUUGGUGAGGUAGUGGCUCACCAAGGCGACGACGGGUAGCCGGCCUGAGAGGGCGACCGGCCACACUGGGACUGAGACACGGCCCAGACUCCUACGGGAGGCAGCAGUGGGGAAUAUUGCACAAUGGGCGAAAGCCUGAUGCAGCGACGCCGCGUGAGGGAUGACGGCCUUCGGGUUGUAAACCUCUUUCAGCAGGGAAGAAGCGCAAGUGACGGUACCUGCAGAAGAAGCGCCGGCUAACUACGUGCCAGCAGCCGCGGUAAUACGUAGGGCGCAAGCGUUGUCCGGAAUUAUUGGGCGUAAAGAGCUCGUAGGCGGUCUGUCGCGUCGGAUGUGAAAGCCCGGGGCUUAACCCCGGGUCUGCAUUCGAUACGGGCA